rnacentral:sRNA from 1 species
UAACUAAAAUGCAAGUAUACAAUUAUAAA